GGGUUGUGAGGUUAAGCGACUAAGCGUACACGGUGGAUGCCCUGGCAGUCAGAGGCGAUGAAGGACGUGCUAAUCUGCGAUAAGCGUCGGUGAGGUGAUAUGAACCGUUAUAACCGGCGAUUUCCGAAUGGGGAAACCCAGUGUGUUUCGACACACUAUCAUUAACUGAAUCCAUAGGUUAAUGAGGCGAACCGGGGGAACUGAAACAUCUAAGUACCCCGAGGAAAAGAAAUCAACCGAGAUUCCCCAGUAGCGGCGAGCGAACGGGGAGGAGCCCAGAGCCUGAAUCAGUGUGUGUGUUAGUGGAAGCGUCUGGAAAGGCGCGCGAUACAGGGUGACAGCCCCGUACACAAAAAUGCACAUAUUGUGAGCUCGAUGAGUAGGGCGGGACACGUGGUAUCCUGUCUGAAUAUGGGGGGACCAUCCUCCAAGGCUAAAUACUCCUGACUGACCGAUAGUGAACCAGUACCGUGAGGGAAAGGCGAAAAGAACCCCGGCGAGGGGAGUGAAAAAGAACCUGAAACCGUGUACGUACAAGCAGUGGGAGCCUCUUUAUGGGGUGACUGCGUACCUUUUGUAUAAUGGGUCAGCGACUUAUAUUCUGUAGCAAGGUUAACCGAAUAGGGGAGCCGAAGGGAAACCGAGUCUUAACUGGGCGUUAAGUUGCAGGGUAUAGACCCGAAACCCGGUGAUCUAGCCAUGGGCAGGUUGAAGGUUGGGUAACACUAACUGGAGGACCGAACCGACUAAUGUUGAAAAAUUAGCGGAUGACUUGUGGCUGGGGGUGAAAGGCCAAUCAAACCGGGAGAUAGCUGGUUCUCCCCGAAAGCUAUUUAGGUAGCGCCUCGUGAAUUCAUCUCCGGGGGUAGAGCACUGUUUCGGCAAGGGGGUCAUCCCGACUUACCAACCCGAUGCAAACUGCGAAUACCGGAGAAUGUUAUCACGGGAGACACACGGCGGGUGCUAACGUCCGUCGUGAAGAGGGAAACAACCCAGACCGCCAGCUAAGGUCCCAAAGUCAUGGUUAAGUGGGAAACGAUGUGGGAAGGCCCAGACAGCCAGGAUGUUGGCUUAGAAGCAGCCAUCAUUUAAAGAAAGCGUAAUAGCUCACUGGUCGAGUCGGCCUGCGCGGAAGAUGUAACGGGGCUAAACCAUGCACCGAAGCUGCGGCAGCGACACUAUGUGUUGUUGGGUAGGGGAGCGUUCUGUAAGCCUGUGAAGGUGGCCUGUGAGGGUUGCUGGAGGUAUCAGAAGUGCGAAUGCUGACAUAAGUAACGAUAAAGCGGGUGAAAAGCCCGCUCGCCGGAAGACCAAGGGUUCCUGUCCAACGUUAAUCGGGGCAGGGUGAGUCGACCCCUAAGGCGAGGCCGAAAGGCGUAGUCGAUGGGAAACAGGUUAAUAUUCCUGUACUUGGUGUUACUGCGAAGGGGGGACGGAGAAGGCUAUGUUGGCCGGGCGACGGUUGUCCCGGUUUAAGCGUGUAGGCUGGUUUUCCAGGCAAAUCCGGAAAACCAAGGCUGAGGCGUGAUGACGAGGCACUACGGUGCUGAAGCGACAAAUGCCCUGCUUCCAGGAAAAGCCUCUAAGCAUCAGGUAACAUCAAAUCGUACCCCAAACCGACACAGGUGGUCAGGUAGAGAAUACCAAGGCGCUUGAGAGAACUCGGGUGAAGGAACUAGGCAAAAUGGUGCCGUAACUUCGGGAGAAGGCACGCUGAUAUGUAGGUGAAGCGACUUGCUCGUGGAGCUGAAAUCAGUCGAAGAUACCAGCUGGCUGCAACUGUUUAUUAAAAACACAGCACUGUGCAAACACGAAAGUGGACGUAUACGGUGUGACGCCUGCCCGGUGCCGGAAGGUUAAUUGAUGGGGUUAGCGGUAACGCGAAGCUCUUGAUCGAAGCCCCGGUAAACGGCGGCCGUAACUAUAACGGUCCUAAGGUAGCGAAAUUCCUUGUCGGGUAAGUUCCGACCUGCACGAAUGGCGUAAUGAUGGCCAGGCUGUCUCCACCCGAGACUCAGUGAAAUUGAACUCGCUGUGAAGAUGCAGUGUACCCGCGGCAAGACGGAAAGACCCCGUGAACCUUUACUAUAGCUUGACACUGAACAUUGAGCCUUGAUGUGUAGGAUAGGUGGGAGGCUUUGAAGUGUGGACGCCAGUCUGCAUGGAGCCGACCUUGAAAUACCACCCUUUAAUGUUUGAUGUUCUAACGUUGGCCCGUAAUCCGGGUUGCGGACAGUGUCUGGUGGGUAGUUUGACUGGGGCGGUCUCCUCCUAAAGAGUAACGGAGGAGCACGAAGGUUGGCUAAUCCUGGUCGGACAUCAGGAGGUUAGUGCAAUGGCAUAAGCCAGCUUGACUGCGAGCGUGACGGCGCGAGCAGGUGCGAAAGCAGGUCAUAGUGAUCCGGUGGUUCUGAAUGGAAGGGCCAUCGCUCAACGGAUAAAAGGUACUCCGGGGAUAACAGGCUGAUACCGCCCAAGAGUUCAUAUCGACGGCGGUGUUUGGCACCUCGAUGUCGGCUCAUCACAUCCUGGGGCUGAAGUAGGUCCCAAGGGUAUGGCUGUUCGCCAUUUAAAGUGGUACGCGAGCUGGGUUUAGAACGUCGUGAGACAGUUCGGUCCCUAUCUGCCGUGGGCGCUGGAGAACUGAGGGGGGCUGCUCCUAGUACGAGAGGACCGGAGUGGACGCAUCACUGGUGUUCGGGUUGUCAUGCCAAUGGCACUGCCCGGUAGCUAAAUGCGGAAGAGAUAAGUGCUGAAAGCAUCUAAGCACGAAACUUGCCCCGAGAUGAGUUCUCCCUGACUCCUUGAGAGUCCUGAAGGAACGUUGAAGACGACGACGUUGAUAGGCCGGGUGUGUAAGCGCAGCGAUGCGUUGAGCUAACCGGUACUAAUGAACCGUGAGGCUUAACCUUACAACGCCGAAG
rnacentral:rRNA from 1 species